rnacentral:lncRNA from 1 species
GAAGUGUCACGGUGUCACCUGGAAGUGUCACGGUGUCACCCGGAGCUGUCAUGGUGUCACCUGGAGAUGUCACGGUGUCACUCGGAGGAGUCACGGUGUCACCCGAAGGCGUCAUGGCGUCACCUGGACGUCUCACGGUGUCACCCGGCGUUGUCACGGCGUCACCUGGAGGUGUCACAGUGUCACCCGCAGCUGUCACGGUGUCACCCGGCCAAGUCACGGUGUCACCCGGAAGCAUCACGGUGUCACCUGGAGCUGUCAUGGUGUCACCCGGAGGCAUCAUGACGUCACCCAGAGGUGUCACGGUGUCACCCGGAGCCGUGGCGGUGGUGGCACACUGUCCCCAAGAGUUGUCCCGUUGUCACCCGUACGCCUUGCACUGCCACCAACCGGCGUCACAUUGUCCCCAACAGCCGUCCCGUUGUCACCGGUACGCCUUGCACUGCCACUGAUUGGUGUCACACUGUCCCCAACAACCUCCUGAUUGUCACUGGUCCCCUCUGCAUCGCCACCAGCUGCUGUCACAUUGUCCCCAACACCUGCCCGGUUGUCACCGGUCCUCUUUGGGCUGUCACCAGCCGGUGUCACAUUGUCCCCAACAGCCGCUCGCUUGUCACCAGUCCUCUUUGGGCUGUCACCAGCUGCCAUCACAUUGUCCCCAACAGCCGCCCGCUUGUCACCGGUC